GAUGAACGCUGGCGGUAUGCUUAACACAUGCAAGUCGAACGGACUCUUCGGAGUUAGUGGCGGACGGGUGAGUAACGCGUGAGAAUCUGGCUUUGGGUUCGGGACAACCACUGGAAACGGUGGCUAAUACCGGAUGUGCCGAGAGGUAAAAGAGAAAUUGCCUGAAGAUGAGCUCGCGUCUGAUUAGCUAGUUGGUGAGGUAAAGGCUCACCAAGGCAGCGAUCAGUAGCUGGUCUGAGAGGAUGACCAGCCACACUAGGACUGAGACACGGCCCAGACUCCUACGGGAGGCAGCAGUGGGGAAUUUUCCGCAAUGGGCGAAAGCCUGACGGAGCAAUACCGCGUGAGGGAAGAAGGCUCUUGGGUUGUAAACCUCUUUUCUUAGGGAAGAACAAAAUGACGGUACCUAAGGAAUCAGCAUCGGCUAACUCCGUG
rnacentral:rRNA from 1 species